UACGUAGGGGGCGAGCGUUGUCCGAAGUUACUGGGCGUAAAGCGUGCGUAGGCGGGUUGGUAAGUGGGUGGUGAAAGCGCUCGGCUAAACCGGGCGAGUGCCAUCCAGACUGCCAGUCUAGAGGCGGAUAGAGGGGUGCGGAAUUCCGGGUGUAGCGGUGAAAUGUGUAGAGAUCCGGAGGAACACCAGUGGUGCAAACGGCGCCCUGGGUCCGAACUGACGCUGAUGCACGAAAGCGUGGGGAGCGAACGGG
rnacentral:rRNA from 1 species